UACGAAGGGGGCUAGCGUUGCUCGGAAUCACUGGGCGUAAAGGGUGCGUAGGCGGGUCUUUAAGUCAGGGGUGAGAUCCUGGAGCUCAACUCCAGAACUGCCUUUGAUACUGAAGAUCUUGAGUUCGGGAGAGGUGAGUGGAACUGCGAGUGUAGAGGUGAAAUUCGUAGAUAUUCGCAAGAACACCAGUGGCGAAGGCGGCUCACUGGCCCGAUACUGACGCUGAGGCACGAAAGCGUGGGGAGCAACAGGG
rnacentral:rRNA from 1 species